GCAGUGGUGGUCCAGUGGUAGAAUUCUUGCCUUCAGCGCAGCAGACCCAGGUCUGACUCUUGGCCAAUGCA
rnacentral:tRNA from 1 species